AUAGACGGCCAUAGGGACUUGGUUCACCCGUUCUCAUUUCGCACACGGAAGUUAAGAAAGUCUCCGUAUUGGUGUGUACUGCAUUCCGCGGGAAAUCCAGUAAGCUGUCUACC
rnacentral:rRNA from 1 species